rnacentral:piRNA from 1 species
UAACCCUAGCUGGGGAAGGUGACCGCA